AGAUUGGGCCUAAAUACCCUUAAGGCACCAAAUCCCAUUUGAUUUUGGAAGCUAAGCAGGGUAAAGCCUGGUUAAUACUUGGAUGGGAGAUCAUCAACAAAUCCCAGAUGCUGUGUGCU
rnacentral:rRNA from 1 species